rnacentral:sRNA from 1 species
ACGUAUCUUUCCGAACGCAACCAACCC